UACUAUAAUUUGAUACAAAGUGAAUACACAACAUCUAUAGAUAAAUUUGAUAUAGCUAUUGAAAUUUUAAGAGACCAAUGCAACUUUGACCACAUUUUAAUUAAUUAAUUAAUUAAUUAAUUAAUUAAUUAAAUUAUUUAUUAAAUUUGCCAAACAUAGUAUACAUAACUACAUGAUUAUAGUAGACAUACAUAUAAGUCACAAGAUAAGAAACAUGCCUUAGAAAAAAAGAAAGUGGCAGUGGCACCGCAACAGCACAUAUAGCCAAUUACUGUAGAAUUUUGAAAUAAAAUAUAUGAAAAAAUAAAAAUAAUAAAAAAUAUACAAAAAUAGAAACUAGAUUGAAAAGUUAUAAAAAUGUUUUGGCAGUUCUUUCUUCCUGCAUUCGUUUGGCUAUAAAUUAUCAAUAUAAUCAAAUUUAUAUCAUAAAAAUUAUCAAUGCUUAUAUUAUAUAUAUAUAUAUAUAUAUAUAGUACAAUCUGCAGACAUGCAUGUUUCGGCGUUCAACGCCUCGUCAGUGCAGCUUGGUACACGUCUAGAUACGUGAGACACUCGUAUUUAUACCCCAUAUAUAUAUUUUCAAAUAUAAUAUAAUAAAUAUAAUCGGCAAUGCUUAUAUAUAUAUUUAUAAUAUAGCAUUAAAUUUGUAAAUCUGAAUUGGCUAAGAGCCGUGUUGAUAUAACUCAAUGUCAACACGGAAACGUCGGAAAAUUUCUUUCUUUAUGUUUCUUUGUGCUGUAUUAUAAAACAAAUAUAAAACAUUUUUUCCAUAUUGAUAUACAGUUAUAUCAACAC